rnacentral:misc_RNA from 1 species
CAUCCACGCACAGUAGG